rnacentral:snRNA from 1 species
UAAUGUGAGGGAGAUCUGGCUAUGACACCCUCCCUCACAGCUUCAGGUCUAUUCCUCCCUAAAUUGCAUACAUUUGGCUCAAAAGGAGACUUUCCCCAAUAGAAGAGUAUGAAUUCUCCUGCUAUAACCUUCAAAUCAUGCUCUGAAUAAAUCCACUUUACCUCAGUUGCUUAUAAAGGUGCAUGAAUAGAAGCUUGCAUUCGAAUUCAGAGACUUACUGUACAUGGCGGUGAGUUUGGUU